ncrna:unclassified sequences DTF1874 RNA
CAAGGCCAAGCUUAGGAGUGGCCAUCCACGGUAAGAGGUGCCAUAGGCACCCGCCACUCCUAUUUCCCAAAGGGCUUGGUCUUGGGUGUAGGC